ensembl:lncRNA
AUGCCCACCCUCUCUCAUCUUCCACCGCGCCCAACAUCGGCCACGCCCACCCUCUCUCGUCCUCCACCGCGCCCAACAUCGGACACACCCACCCUCUCUCGUCCUCCACCGCGCCCAACAUCGGCCACACCCACACUCUCGUCGUCCACCGCGCGUCCUCCAACAUCGGCCACACCCACACUCUCUCGUCCUCCACCACACCCAACAUCGGCCACGCCCACCCUCUCUCGUCCUCCACCUCGCCCAACAUCGGCCAAACCCACCCUCUCUCGUCCUCCACCACACCCAACAUCGGCCACGCCCACCCUCUCUCGUCCUCCACCUCGCCCAACAUCGGCCAAACCCACCCUCUCUCGUCCUCCACCACACCCAACAUCGGCCACACCCACCCUCUCUCGUCCUCCACCACACCCAACGUCGGCCACGCCCACCCUCUCUCGUCCUCCACCACACCCAACAUCGGCCACGCCCACCCUCUCUCGUCCUCCACCUCGCCCAACAUCGGCCAAACCCACCCUCUCUCGUCCUCCACCACACCCAACAUCGGCCACACCCACCCUCUCUCGUCCUCCACCACACCCAACGUCGGCCACACCCACCCUCUCUCGUCCUCCACCGCGCCCAACAUCGGCCACACCCACACUCUCUCAUCCUCCACCACACCCAACGUCGGCCAAACCCACCCUCUCUCGUCCAACAUCGGCCAAACCCACCCUCUCUCGUCCUCCACCGCGCGUCCUCCAACAUCGGCCAAACCCACCCUCUCUCGUCCUCCACCACGCCCAACAUCGGCCACGCCCACCCUCUCUCGUCCUCCACCGCGCGUCCUCCAACAUCGGCCAAACCCACCGUCUCUCGUCCUCCACCGCGCCCAACAUCGGCCACACCCACACUCUCUCGUCCUCCACCACACCCAACAUCGGCCAAACCCACCCUCUCUCGUCCUCCACCGCGCCCAACGUCGGCCACACCCACCCUCUCUCGUCCUCCACCGCGCCCAACAUCGGCCACACCCACACACUCUCGUCCUCCACCACACCCAACAUCGGCCACGCCCACCCUCUCUCAUCCUCCACCACACCCAACAUCGGCCACGCCCACCCUCUCUCGUCCUCCACCGCGCCCAACAUCGGCCACGCCAACCCUCUCUCGUCCUCCACCGCGCGUCCUCCAACAUCGGCCAAACCCACCCUCUCUCGUCCAACAUCGGCCAAACCCACCCUCUCUCGUCCUCCAUCGCGCGUCCUCCAACAUCGGCCAAACCCACCCUCUCUCGUCCUCCAUCGCGCGUCCUCCAACAUCGGCCAAACCCACCCUCUCUCGUCCUCCACCGCGCCCAACAUCGGCCAAACCCACCCUCUCUCGUCCUCCACCGCGCCCAACGUCGACCCCACCCAGCCUCUGUUGUCUUCUACCACACCCAACAUCCACCACAUACUAUCAUCUUUAUCAGUGAAUAUUAGUCAUGAGUGA